GGAGGAGUUGCUGCAGCUGCGUGAACACCAAGUUGUUGAGCUAUUGACGAGGAAAGUGUCCUCCAGCAUCUGGCCUGAAGAGGUAGAACUCCUGUAUGAGGCAAGAAAGGAGAAGCAACUAUUUUUCUGUGUUUGGUUUCCACAGCAACGUUCUCCCCACACCCAUCAAUUUUUGGAUGCUACUUGCUGAGCCUCCUCCAAGAGACACAGAAGAUGGCACAGUGUUUUCCAUGUUCCUGCCUACAGACUGGAUGAGGUGAACAUCACACUCGCCUAUGUUGUCUGUCACAAGCAGACAUGGGAUGUUAGCGUGAAGAGUUUAGAAACAGGAUGUUGCUGACUGACAGGUCACAACAGUGUGUCGAUAGACAAAGGCCACUACCUUUCAAGCAGACUUGCCACGGUUUGACAAGCUGAUCUUUUGGGCAGUUUUGGGGAAGAAAUUAGGCAACACAAGAGAGCAAAACAGUGCGGGGGAAGUUUACAGAGGGAGCAGCAAAAAAAAACCUAGAGGAAUUAAGUUACUAACUCUGUCACAAGCAGUGGUUUUCUGAUAGCUUCACACACCACUACCCUCAUCCAGCCUCUCAGCAUAUGGAAAGGUGAUGUCUGUCCUACCACAGUCCCAACUCUUUGCUUUCAUUUCUAAGAACUCACAGUCUUACUUCUGAGGCAAACCAUGUAGCCUCUGCCUAAUGAUCAUAUUUAGCCAUCUUUUUAGUGACUCUGUGAAGAAGCAUCUUUCUUGUGAUAUUUUAUCCUGAUCCUGCACGUCCUUGACUACAUGAGGGAAGAGAUGCUUCCAGGAAGCCCAGCUGGAUCACUGUGCCUAGGUCCCAAAGGUCUGCAAAGCAGCAUGGCUUCACAACUGGAGGGUGGCCAAAAGUAACAGAAAGCGUAGAAGCACCAGCACUACAGCACACAUCAGUCUCAUUCAUUUUGCAGACAGCAUCCCUAAAGAGUGUGGGGUACUUGCUGCCUUGAGGGUUAUAUGAACUCAGCAUCACACUGCAUACAAACAAGUCAGUUCCACAUGCAGUAACUGGAUUCAGCACGAACCAACCCCUCUCUGCACCCAUGUAGAUUAACAAUUCAUGCAUAAAUCAUGCCAACUUGGAUUCCUCUCUGAAUAGAGUCCUGAUGUAUAUUCAUUGUAGAAUGAUAACCUGAGAAGCUGGAAUUUAUUAUACAACCUCUCAUGUGACAGGUGCACGGUACUACCAGUUAUCUAUCAUGCUCUACUGCUGGCCAAGACAGAUAUAGCAUAUAUAGAUAUAACAUAUAGCAGGAGAUGAGUUAUAUAAAAUACGUCCAUCUUUGACUCAGCUAUGUAAUCCUGAAUAGACCUUGAGCAGUUAUCAAGGGCUGGAUCCUACAAAGUUUCCUAGCCCAGCUGCCCAGAGGCAGGAAGACAUUGCCCAUAACUGGAGGGAGGGGACAUGAUGCCCUGGGGCAUCCUUCUAGUCUUUUGGUUUCAGGAGCAUUAAAUAAAGCAAAGCAGCAGAAGCCAAAAGGGCUUCAAAGAUAGAUGCCCAAGGGUAGUCUCUCCCAAAGAGCUCUGAGGAAAUGAGGCUCCUCAGGACCGUAGAAAACCAGACCCCAGAUGAGGUGAAGCAGUUGCCAAGGCCUAUUUCUUCCCUCAGUUUGAAGUCUAAUGCACACAGAUGUCCAUUAUGCAAAAUUGAAAAAGUAUAUUACAAAUUUUGUUUUUAAUAUACUUAUGACAUUCACACACAUUGAUAUUGUAUAAACACCCACGUGUCCAGACACACAUACAUCUGGCUUCUAUGUUCAUUCAGUCUUCAUCUCAUACCUUGGAGUAAAGCCAUUUGCUCCCUAUUUGGCAAAUUUUGUUGUGACAUGAAUACUGUCAUUUUUGCUGAUAGAAACCUUUAUGUUUCUCUCCAGAAGAAGAACAAUGUGGAGAAAACCCUGAAAAAUAGUGAGGGGAUGGUCUUCAAAAUUACUGAGUACCAGCACAAGAGAGGACUGUGAGGUCUGUGGGGUUGUUUUUCCCUGAAACAGCACUUGUUUUCCAAGCAUACCUCUCUAGCCAUAAGAGACAGACAUGACAGUACGCUUUUUGAAUACCGAAGGGACUAGGCAGUUCAUGCUGGCACUCUCACCAAAACAGCAGCUUUGUAAGAAAGAGAUCCCAAUGGGUAUCUGGGGACAGAGUGUCUCUGGGAAUGAAGAGAAAUGAUGGUCACAUGGACAUGAAGUUGUCUGCGUUCAAACAUCUGUUUAGUAUCACAUAGCAAACCUUAGCAGAAGCCAUCUAGGUUACUUACUGUAUGUAGGGAUACUGCUCUGCUAAAGGUUAUACAUACAGAGUUUGUAAAAACAUGUUUUGAGGUCCUUUAGAGUAAAAAAAAAGGCACUAUGGGAAGCUUCAUUGUUUCUUUUGGAGAAAUAUCCCAGUCUUUGUAGACAUUUAAAUAUGUAAAGAAUGCCCCUGGUUUCCAAGUGAUUUUGAAUUAUUUAAACAAGGAAGAAAAUGGAA